rnacentral:lncRNA from 1 species
UCUGAAGCUGCUUGGCCCAGGGUGUCAUCAUCGUCAUCGGGAUCGCUGUGGUGGUAGGAAUUGGCCCUCAUUUCGCUUUCUGCGAUGGUGCGUAGCGGGCGCCCAGGGACUCUGGUUGCCUCCCAGCCACUGGCUUCCGACCUCCUCCUCUCAUUCUCGCGGGGCCCUGGCUAUUACCCGGAGAAGGUGGACCUAAAGCAAAGGGUAAAGUUGGGGCCUGCUGCCUUAUCCUUUUUCCUGCCUCCUUUAGGGACUUCUUGGGCCUGGGUGUUUAGCUCCUUGAAUUCCAGCCCCCGGAUUCAUCCCUUUUAUUCUAAAAGACCAAAGAAUUUCGUUACCCCCCUAGAGUCCGGUCUGAAAUCAACAUUGUUGAAGGCAGUUGUUAGGUAGCCUACCAUCAGUGAUAGUUUUCAGUAGACUCUGAGCCCCUUGAUCCCAAAACCUUCAGGAAAAACUCUCUGAAAGCAAAAGCGAAAGCAACUUCUCUUUUAGGAGUUGUGACAUUCAGACAGGAAAUGCUUUCUCUACUCCGCCCUUGAGGCUUGCAGAAAAGAUCUUUCUUUCUGUUUUGAGGUACUAGGGAUUGAAUCCAGGGGUUCUGUACCACUGGCUUCUUGAUGAGUGGCUCCUGAUCUGCCACUACACAUUCCUAUCAAUAGGUUACCGUUUUCCCCCACCAGCCCUGCACAUCCUCAUGUAAAAUAUUUGCAGUGCUUCAUUAUACUUACAUAUAAGAAUGGGAUGUGUGCCAUAUCAUCCAUGCACAUAGCACAAUCUGGUAGAUUUUGUUACCCAGUACUUCCCUAUCCCCUCCCUUCAUUCCUCCCUCUCCAGCCCUUUCCUUUACUCCAUUGUUUGCCCUUUCCCUCUAUUUUAUGAGAUUCCCCCCUUUAUCUUUAAAUUCUUUUUCUUUUUUCCCUCUCUAACUAUGAGAGGGAAAACAUUCAACCUUUGGCUUUCAGAGUCUGUCUUAUUUCACUUAGCAUGAUGUUCUCCAGGUCCAUCCAUUUAUUUACCAGCAAAUGAUAUAAUUCCAUUCUUCUUUGUGAUUGAAUUAAACCUCACUAUGUAAGUUUUGCACAUUUUCUUUAUCCAUUCAAUGUCGAUGAGUCCCUGGGUGGUUCCAUAACUGAACUAUUGUGAAUUGUGCUGUUCUAAACAUGAGUAUGCACACAUCAUUAUAGUAUCCUGAUUUUAGUUCUUUUGGAUAAAUACCAAGGAGUGUAAUAGCUGGGUCAUAUGGUGGUUUGAUUCCAAGUCUUCUGAGGAAUCUCCAUACUGCUCUCAAAAGUGGUUAUAGCAAUUUGCAGCCCCAUGAACAAUGCUUGAUUGUUCCUUUCCUUCUCAUCCUCAUCAGAAAUUUUUGGUAUUUGUAGUUUUCAUGAUUGUCAUUCUAACUGGGUUGAGAUGAAAUCUCAUGCUAAGGAUGUAAACAUGUUUUCAUAUGUUUCUUGGCCAUUUGUGUUUCUUCUCUUGAAAAAUGUUUGUUUAGUUCUUUUGUCCACUUGUUGAUUGUUUUAUUUGGGUGUUUUUUUUUUUUUUGCCCUUUUGGUGAGAAUUUUUUUGAGUUCUUUAUGUAUUCUGGAUAUUAAUCCCUUGUCAGAGGAAAGCUGACAGAUUUUUCCCCCUUAAUGUAUGCUCUCUCUUCAUGUUCUUAAUUAUUUCCCUUGCUGUGUAGAAGCUUUUUAUUUGGAUGGCAUCCCACUUAUUUAAUCUUGGUUUUAUUUCUUGUACUUUGGGCAUCUUGUGAAGGAUGUUGGUUCCUGUAUCUAUAUGCUCUGAGUGUUGACCUAUGCUUUCUUCUAGCACUUUCAAGGGUUCUGAUCUAAAUCCUUAGACUUUCAACCAUUUUGAUAUGUCUUUUGUGCAGGUUGACAUACAGGCUAGUUUCAUUUCCUACAUAUGGAUAUCCAGUUUUCCCAGCACCAAUAAAAAGGCUGACUUUUCUCCAACAUAUCUUUCUUGCACCUUUGUCAAAGAUUAGAUAACUGAAUCUAAGUGGGUUUGUCUUUGUGGUUUCUAUUCUAUUCUAUUGAUCUUCAUAUUCCCUCCCCCCAAUACCAUGUGUUUUUUCCCCCCCUAUACCUCUGUAGUAUAAUUUGAGAUCAGGUCACAUGCCUCCCGCAUUGCUGUUCUUACUCAUGAUUGCUUUGGCUACUCUGGUUCUUGUAUUCUUCCAGAUGAAUUUAAUGACUUUUUCCCCCGCUGCUAGUUUUGUGAAGGUUGUCAUUCUCAUUUUAAUGGUGAUCACAUCAAAUCUGUAAACCAUUUUUGACAAAAUGGUCAUUUUGACAAUAUUAAUUCUGCCUACUCAUCUUCUAAGGUCUUCCUUUAACCCAGGGUCUGGUGAGUGCAGCCCUAUAUCACUGAGUCCUAUUGUGUAUAAUUAUAACGCACUAAUUUUUAAAAACCCCAAAAAUAUUUUUUAAAAAUUCUUUUUUUUUGCAUUUAACUGUUUUUAUUUUUCAAAAAUACAGAUGCAUCUUCAGAAUACUUUCUUUGUAACAAUUGAAUAGUUUUCUAGUAGAAGGAUUUACCAAAAUUUAGUUAACAAUUUCCUAGUGAUUGAAAAAGGGAUAUUUCAAAUGUAAGAAAUUUCGUUUUGAUAUUUUAAAUUUUAAUUUAAUUCCCUCUUAUUCUUGGUGCAUUAUAGUUGUGGUAAUGUUCGUAUUUGUUGUUACAUAGUCGUUCAAGCACAAUAUAGCAACAGAAUUUGGCCAAUAUAAUUCCCCUGUAUUUCCUUUCUCUCCUCUCCUCCCUCCCCCUGGUGGGUCUUUUUCCUCUACUCUACUGAUCUCCCUUUGAUUUUUCAUGAGACACCCGCCUUUCUUUUCCUUGAAAAGAAAAUUCUAAAAAGUUGAUAUCACAUGAACUUGGAAGCAACUGGACCUGCCACCGUGACUCAGAACAACCUUUGAUAGAGACAUCCGUGCUGGGCAAAGGGGCCACGUGGAGUUCAUGGCAAUUCCUCCCUGGAAAGGCACAACACCGCCCCUGGAGUGCAGAAUUAAAUGCCACCGCAGCGGGAAAACUUAAAGCGUUUUCUGUCAUGCUCUUGGGUCUCUGGAGAGAGAGGCUCUUCCCCCACUUCUGAAAACGAAAGUGGCACUGGGGACCCUUACCAAGCCUUCUUGCUUCUUCGAAUCCUCCUGCCCUUAUUUUCAUUUUAUUUUACUUUUAAAAGAUGGACACAAUAUCUUUAUUGAGUUUUAUGUGCUGCUGAGGCUCCACCCAGUGCGAGGCAAUGGCUCUACCCCUGCGCUAUAAUCCCAGCCCCUGCCCUAACUUUUCCCUCUCUUUCCUGCUCCCUGAGCUACCUGGGUCCUGAGGCUCCCACCACUGGAGCAAGGUGCAGAACCCUCCGCAGGGACGCAGACCAGUGGGGCGGAACCCGCAGGGGAAGCCUGGGGACUGAAGGCAAGAGCAGAGCCAGGCAUGAGCAUGGGGUAGACCCCACCUGCCACAGGUCCCAGCUCCGGAGCCCUGGAGACCUGCCUCCCGGUGCCAGGCCUUUAAAGCCCAAGGCCCCUCCACCCUGGUGCCCAGUGCCCUACUUCCCCUCUGCUGCCCUCGCCUGGGUCCCAGUUCCUGGGAGCACGCGGGCCAGACACUCCCCAGCGACUCUGGAGGCCUAGCCACUGGCAUCUGCCCUCCCAGCCUCACUCCCUGCGCCACCCUGGCUGAGACCCAGAGAAGGUGAACCCAAAUCAAAGGAUAAAGUUGGGGCUUCCAGUUUCAUCCUCUUUCCCACCUUUGGACUCUGAAAAGACCAAAGAAUUUCGGUCACCCAGUAAACUCCCAUCUAAAAUCAACGUGGUCCAAGUCAGCUAGACCGUCAUCAAGGAGAGUUCUGGGUAGAUUCUGUGCCCUGGAACCUAAACCUUCAGGAAAAACUCUGAAAGCAGAAGUAAAAAGCAACUUCUCCUUUAUGAAAAGUUCUGACAGCCAAACAGGAAAUGCGCAGCUCUGCUGCCAUUCUUGAGGCAGAAAGAAUCAUUUUUCCCCCUUUUUCUUUAGAGGUAGUGAGGAUUGAAUCCAGGCACACUCCACCAUGGAGCUAAAUCCUCUGCUCCUCUAAAAAUUUUAAAUUUUGGACAGCAUAAAUGUCCCUAAAUCGCCUAGGCCGGCCUCGAACUUGCAAUGCUUCUGCUUCACCUCCAAGAAGCUGGGAUCACAGGCAUGUGCAGUAGCCCCUGGCUAUGAUUAACCUCUUAAGGUUUCCUUUGGUCACUUUUAUUGUUAUCUGGAGAUCCAAUCAUUUAAACAUCCAUUCAACUACUAGGUAAGCACCAUUUAAAUAACUUCAAAUACACAUUUCAGGCCAGUGGGGGGAUGAGUGAAAUGAUCACCUGACUCUAAGACCACUCUGGCUUCUUGAUGAGUGGCCCCUGGCCUGAGAUCUCUUAUUCUGCCAUCCAGAGGUUCAGACACAGGGCCCCAUCUCAUGGCCUGGGCCUCAGGCCUGUGGCAUCAAAGAGGGGGAAAGGAACUACUGAGUUAGGAAAGCCCUGGUGAGGGAUCAGCUUGUCUAAGUGCAGGGCACUUGCAUAAUCUCUUCCUUGACCUUCAUUCCACCAGAGAGCACUAACUGACAGAAGUGGAAAUUGAUGCAGGAAAACAUUUAAAAAAGGAGUGCAACACUCAUCAGUCAAAAUGUCAUGAUUUCUAUUUCUGAAAUUACAAUCUACAACUCACACUCUUUUAGCCAACUCUGGAGCUGAUUCCAUCUCCAUUUGGGAUCUGGUUUGAGUUUGGAGGCCAGGAACUUCCUCCUGACUCACUUGCUCUACUUGAUUUAUCUCCCUUCUGUUAUUGUUAUUAUUUUAAUUAGAAUAUUAUAAUUCUCUAUAUAAGUGGGAUUCAGUGUGGUCCAUUUAUACAUGGACAUAACACAAUUUCAUACCUUAUAGCCUUCCCUUGUCCCAUUCUCUUGAUUCUCCUUUCUCUAUUGUCAACUUUAGUCUUUAAGGGACAAAUAUCCUGUAGGCUUUCUAUCUUCAAUAUAUUUUUAACAUACUUAGCAGAGAAAUUCUAAAGUUUUCUUCUUAAGUUUCUGUCCUUGGUUAUUCAAACACUAAUCUAGACCCAGCUCUGAGAAGGUUUUGUAGCUGAAAUUAUAAAGCAGUUGCCCUCCAACAGAAAAACCUUUCCAGGUUACCUGAGAGGGCCCAGGGCCAUCAGAUGAGCCUUUAAAAUCAGAGGACUUUCUCAGGCUGGAGGCAAGAAGGAGGAAGCAGAAGGAGAAGUUUGACUGUAAGCAAGAGAAGGAUUAGAUGUGCUGUUGCUGGAUCUGAGGUGUGUGGACCAGAGAGAGGCCUCUUAAAGUGAAGGAGUGCCCUGCUCACAGCCAGCAAGGAAGUGGAUUCUGCCAACAAUCGGAAUGCCCUUGGAAGCACAGCUUUUUCAAAGCUUCCGCAUCACAGUUUAGCUCUUCAGCAUCUUGAUUUUGACCUUCUGAAAUCCAAAGUGGAGACAUCAGUUGAGCCAACUCAGAUUUCUGACCUAAUGAAUUGUAAGAUAAUAAAUGUGUUGAAAAGCAGCUAGGUUUGGGAUAAUUUGUCAUGACUGCAAUAAAAAAUGAAUACCAACUCCUUCCCAUUUAAAUGAGAAUUUGACUGGAUAUAAAGUUCUUUUCUUCAAUGCUUUAGAAAUAAUAUUCCUUUGUCCCCAUGUGACCAGGGUGGCUGUCCAGGAAUCUGUUGCUGUGCUUGCUUCUUACUUGUUUCUCAGGGCCAUCCGGGAAGGGAGCCAGAAGGCUAUGCUGGUUUGUUGCCUCUGCUGAGUUCUACAGUCUACUUCGUUGCCAAUCAUGGUCUCAUGGAUAUGGGGAGGUUUAAUUUGUUUCUCUUCUUUUCAUGGUUGCAGUCAUAGAUACGACAAAUUUAAUGUUUCACUUUUAUUCAGCUACUACUAAUCUUGCCUUCACCUCCCUUUUAUAAAAACCAAAUUCAUUGAUCUAACACUCCUCCUUAUCUUUGGAAGUAUGUUAGAAAUAUGUAGGCAUUUUUCAAUUUAUGAGGCAUAUUCCCAGGCUACAGAAGUAAAAAGAGAUGCAUGGUAUUACUUCUGCAUGAGUCAUCGUACCAACCUGUCAAUUCUGAAAAUCAUAUUUCCAUGCAGCACCAUCUUCAGGUUUGCAUGGGGAAAAAUAAUUCUUUUUUUUCAGUAAAAACAAUUUAGCUUUUAGACAAAGUGAAUUCUCGAACUACAUUAAGUACACUUUGACCUUCAGGAUUUUAUAGAUUUCAAAAAAAACAUUUACUGUAAUUAUGAUAGUUAUUUUAAUAAAACAUACACUCCUUUUCAGUCACUGGAAGCACAUGUUAAUCAUAGCCUUUAACACUAGUCAUACUUUCAGCUUCAUAAUCAGAUAUUAUGAGAUAUUUUAUGGCUGAGUUUUUUUUCAAAAUUUUUAUUAUUAUAAUGUGUUAUACAUAGUACACUUAUAGAGCAUAAUUUUUUUGUCUCUGUACACACCAUUUGGACUUCAUACAUGUACUUAGCAUACUGAUGUCCAUCUCAUUCCACCACCUUUCCUAUCCCAUACCCUUUCCUUCCCCUCCCUUCCCUUUGCCCUAUUUAAAGUUCCUCCAUUCCUCCCUUUCUUUCCCCACCCAUCACCAUUGUGGAUCAGCAUCCACGUAUCAGAGAAAACAUUCAGCCUUUGGUUUUUUGGGAUUGUCUUACUUCACUUAGCAUGAUAUUCUCCAUCUCCAUCCAUUUACUUUCAAAUGCCAUGAUUUAAUUCUCUUUUAAUGCUGAGUAAUAUUCCAUUCUGUAUAUAUACCACAGUUUCUUUAUUCAUUCAUCUGUUGAAGGCAUCUUGGUUCCACAAUGUAGCUAUUGUGAAUUGUGAUGCUAUAAACAUUGAUGUGGCUGUGUUCCUGUAGUAUGUUGUUUUUAAGCCCUUUGGAUAUAGACCGAGGAGAGGAAUAGCUGGGUCAAAUGGUGGUUCCAUUCCCAAUUUGUGAAGAAAUCUCUACACUGUUUUCCAUAUUGGCUGCACCAAUUUGCAGCCCCACCAAGCAGUGUAUGAGUAUACCUUUCCCCUCCACAUCCUCACCAACACCUAUUAUUGUUUGUAUUCAUAAUAACUGCCAUUCUGACAGGAGUGAGAUAAAAUCUUAGAAUAGUUUUGAUUUGCAUUUCUCUAAUUGCUAGCGAUGAUGAACAUUUUUUCAUAUAUUUGUUGAUUGAUGUAUAUCAUCUUCUGAGAAGUGUCUGUUCAGGUUCUUGGUCCAUUUAUUGUGUUUUUUGUUUUUUGGUGUUUAGCUUUUUGAGUUCUUUAUAUACCCUAGAGAUUAGUGCUCCAUCUGAUGUGUGAAGGGUAAAUAUUUAUUCCCAGAAUGUAGGCUCUGUAUUGACCUGAUGGAUUGUUUCUUUUGCCAAGAAGAAACUUUUUAAUUUGAGUCCAUCCCAUUUAUUGAUUUUUGAUUUUAAUUCUUGCACCAAAGAAGUUUUAUUAAGAAAGUUGGGGCCUAAUCCCACAUGGUGGAUAUUAGGGCCUAUUUUUUCUUCUAUUAGACACAGGGUUUCCGGUUUAAUUCCUAGGUCCUUGAUCCACUUUGAAUUGAGUUUUGUGCAUAGUGAGAUAUAGAGGUUUAAUUUAAUUUUGCAGCAUAUGGAUUUCCAGUUUUCCCAGCACCAUUUGUUGAAGAGUCUAUCUUUUCUCCAAUGUAUGUUUUUGGCACUUUUGUCUAAUAUAAGAUAAUUGUAAUUUUGUGGGUUAGUCUCUGUGUCCUGUAUUCUGUACUGUUGGUCUACCAGUCUGUUUUGGUGCCAAUACCAUGCUGUUUUUACUAUGCUCUGUAGUAUAUUUUAAGAUCUGGUAUAGUGAUGCCACUUGCUUCACUUUUCCUGCUAAACAUCACUUUAGCUAUUCUGGGUGUCUUAUGUUUUCAGAUGAUUUUCAUGAUUGCUUUUUCUAUUUCUAUGAGGAAUGCCAUUGGGAUUUUGAUUGAAAUUGCAUUAAAUCUGUAUAGUUUUUUAGAGAGAAUUUUAAUAUUUAUUUUUUAGUUUUCGGCGGACACAACUGUAUCUCAUUCACCCUCUCCCUUUCUACUUCCCAAUUAGGAACCUCUUUCUCUGGAGGUCUUGUAGGCUGUGCUCUGGGGGAUAUGCACCUGUUAUGGAGAGCUAUUUUCUAUUGGGCAGUCCGGGGUCAGGCUUUGCGAGGUAUGAACCAGCUGCAUUGCCACAAGCACUGUGCCGCUUUAGUGGCUGCGGGGGAGAGGUGGGUGUUGGGAAGUAUAGGUCCUUGUUGUUGCUUCAGGGCCCCAGCCAGUGUCCCAAGCUGGGAAUUGCCGCAACUAAAGAUGGCUACAAAGGUGUUCAAAGAUAGAGGUGGUUGCUUUUAGAGAUGGGGUGUCAGGUCAAGUUGGGCUGGGUGGUGGCACUGGGUGGAGUGUUCAGAGAUGCAGCUGAGUCGCAUGCAGUGCUGUGGCUGGUGGCUGUCUCCAGAACCUGUCCUGUGUCAUCAGGUGGUGGCUACCACGUGUAGGGAACUAUGGCAGUGGUUACAGUGUCCCAAGAUGGAGGCAAUCGGGGAGCUCUACGUUGGCAGAUGAGGGUGCACAUGAGAAUGGUGGCCAGAGGUUCUGCGUGUGGGCAGCUCCCUGGUAUCCUGCAUGGAUAGGAGGUCAGGAUUCCUGUGCAGGUGGGUGGCCACGGUUCCUGUGUGGGUGCUGAGGACUGGAGACCUGCAUGGGCACAGUGGCCAGGGUUCCUGUAUGGGAGCAGCUGUCGGGGUCCUCUAGUAACUCACAGAGAAACAGUAUUCCCACUACUAGAAUCCCUGAUCAUGGAGCAAUACAGAAUGCAGCCUCUCUCCAGGCUGCCAUCUUGGAUCCCCCUAACAAAAGUUUAAGGCAUAAAUCAUAAAUGUAUGUAAAUAUUUUUAAGAUUAGACUUAGAUUUGUGUGAAUUAUAGUAACAUAUUUUCUUUGAAAAGAAAUCAUCAAUUCUGGAUUUUACAUACAGAAUAGCACCAAAGAAAACAUGUAAAAAGUCAGGAGAAUUAUACUUUUCAGAGUACAAAUGGACUGGGCAGGUUGGUGUUCCCAGGAAUAAGGGAGGCUGAGACAGGGGGAUCUAGAGUCCAAAGCCAGCCUCAUAAACAGAGUCACUAAGCAACUCAGUGAGAAACUGUCUCUAAAUAAAUACAAAAUAGGGCUAGGGAUGUAGCUCAGUGAUCAAGUGACCCUGAGUUCAAUCCCCAGUACCAGAAAAAAAUAAAUAAAUAAAUAAAAGAGUGCAAAUGAGCAAGGAAAUACUUAUUACUUGAGCCACCUCAUGGGAUGCCUCAAUAUUUACCACCAUGGGAGUAUUUUUCUGCCUAGAAACAACAUAGGCAACUGUUUAGCUCUGGUUGACAGACACAAUGUGACCUAGCAACACUGGACAGGAAAUGUUCCCACUAGAAGCAAACUUAUUUCCAAUCUUCUUCUUAUUUAUUUAUUUUCUUUGUUUGUUCUUUUUAGUUAUACAUGUCAGUAGAGUGUGGUUUGACAUAUUUAUACAAACAUGGAGUACAUCAUAUUCUAAUUAGGAUCCCAGCAUGUAGUUGUACAGAUGUAGAGAUUCUCUGUGGUGUAUUUCAGAUCUCCUUUUGCAAAUCAUUUUGUCUAAGGUCCCUCCUCCCCAACAAAUUAACAAACAAACAAGCAACAAAGGUGAAUAACAUUGAAGCCUCUGAUGCUUGCACUACUGGAUGCAAAUUAAAAAUAGAGUGAAUUAAUAUUUAUUUAUCUAAAAAAGGGUGUGUGAACAUAAAACGAGAAGCCAACAACAUGCAUUUCUCAUGAGAAUAUUUUGCUUUGUUAGGCACGUGAGAAAUAUUGAAUUUGAGCUUGACAUAAGCAGAUAAUUACUUUUAUUUUCCUUUUUCUAAUUUUUUUAUGCAGAAGAUAUUUUUUCUUUAUUUUCCCACGAUAUUAAAAGUUUGCUCCUUUCAAAGGAUGCUAUCCAUUUUUGUUACGGUCAGAAUAUUUCGUAUCUCUUUAUAUCAGUAAUCCUUAUCUCAAAGGAAUAUGCUUGCCUUCUGUAUGAUUUCAGCUUGUAGAACUUCCUUACCAAGUACUAUUUGAACUCUACCUUUCUCUGCUCUUAUUUUGCAGGAAUUCUUUCUUACAAUAGUUUUGGUCUCCACUCUUGGUCAAAAGAUGCAUCUUCCUAGUUAUAACAUGCAGUGUCCCUGUCAUUAGUGUUCUAUGGUUGAGUCCAAGUGCACUGCAAGCAAUGCCUAUUUUUUUCACAGAUCCUGGAUUCAUCAUUUGUUUGGUAGCACUUUGAUGGGAAGAAGGUGGCUUGGGCUGUGAGAGGACAUGAUGAUGUGGCCUGUGGUGAGUAUGUGUUGAAAUCAUCAGGAUUAAAUAAAAAUAUCAGUUAAAAUAUUUUGAGUUAAAGAAAAAUAUUUACAAAUUAUUUUUACCAUUUUAAUGUUGUUACUAGAAAGUUUUAAAUUACAUUUGUGACAUGCACUAGACUUUUGUUAGAAUUCUGAUCUAUAGUUUCUGUAUAUUUUCUAUUGCUAUUGUAAGUUUCUGCUGGUUCUCGUUCAUAUUGUUAUAUAUGCUUGAUUAUCAUGGUCUCAGUGAGGUAUAUGCUGUAUUAAAAGUUGCCAUUGAAAGAAUUUGAAGUUUAUGUAUUUCCUUCCUCCAGAACCACUCUAAUUUGCUUCAUGACCAUAAGUCCAGAAUUACUUAUUUCCAUUUCAGGAGUUAAGAUAUUUGGGGCCAUGCAGAAACCUUGCAGCUGGACUGCAGUCUGUCUGAAGACUGGUUUUCCUCCAGUUCACCCUUCCUCUGAGGAUCCAGUUCUUCAGCAAGGAAUUUAUUUUGGUCCCUGCUUUUGGCAGGUCGUGAACUUCAAUAUCUUCUUGCUUUGCCCCAGAAAGCUAUCCAAACCUGCAUGAGUCACUAAGGGAGGUGCCCGUUUGCUGAUCAAAAGACCGCUGACAUCAUAACCAUACCAAUCUAUCACAACUAGGAAGCCAUCAUGUUAGGCUAGGAAACCACCAUAAUCAGUAUCUCACCACAAUAGCCACAGCUCUAUUGCUGGCUCUGGAAUCACACUGAGCCUGUAAGUAUCUGUACCCUCAGAAUGGAUGCCACAGGCCCUGCUCUCAAUCCUUUCAAGCCAGUGACCACAGCCCAGGACCUCUGUUAAUCGGACAGCAAAGAAACCAUUGUGGCAGCAGGAACAACAGAUGUCUGGCCUCUGCUCCAGUUCUGCCACAUUUGAUUGACAGAAUCUAAAGGCACCUCCAGGAGUUAGGUUGCAAAGGAGUCUGGGAAAUGUAGCAUCUAGCUCUUAUGGUUCCUGUGGUAGAGAAGGUACAGUAGAAAGAAGAAACAAUGAGUGUCCUGCUUCUGUUCCCCCUGUGUACUCUGCAGCUGAAAUGCCAUUUUAGUUAUUGUUUGAAAAUCUACAAAAAUAAUGUUAUAUCUUGCUUAUUGAUUCAUAAUAUAUACCUAGGUACAGUAUAUCCAUACAGCUUUACCUGUAUAUCUCCAUACACAGUUCCCAAAAAUACAGUAAGAUCAGUAGUGAUUUGAAACAUGGGUUCCAGACUCAGCCUGGAUUUCAAGACCUGUGUCUGUGAGUGAUGUGGGUGCCCAUGUUUCCUCAAUCUCUCUCCCAGAUAUUUUAUUUCCCUAUUUAUAAAAUAGGUGUAAGGAGAGUCUACCUUGAAAUACUGUUGCACAUUUCAAUUAAAAUAGUGCAUACAGUAGUCUAAGUGUAGUGCCUGGCUCAUCAUACCAAGAAGUAAACUGCAGCAGAAGAUCUAUUGGUAAAACCAAUGCAUAUCAUCUUGACAGGUCACUUAAUUUUCUUUGGGUCAUUUUUUGUUCUAUUAAAAGACAAUUUAUUUCAUUAAUCUGGGCAAGACAAAUUAGGACCACAAGGAGAAAACAUUAAGAAUCACUAGAUUGGCAAAAUAUGCCGAAAUUGGGCCCUAUUAAGUGCUGGCAAAGUCUGUGCUGGAAGAACACAAACUCAUAUAAUACAGAAGCAAAUGCCAUUAAUAAAUGUACCUUGGAAGACAAUUUAGAUUUUUUUUUCAAUAAACUGAAAUGCACAUAUCUCACAACUUCAGUUACACUUCUAGUUACCUAUGUACGAGAAAUUUCUAUGAAGAAAAAUAUUCUAUAUUUUUAAGUUAUGUGCUGUAGUUAUUCAUCUUAUGUUUUUAUUUCUGAUUAAUGUUAUUCUGAAAAAUGUUAUAUUCAUUUGGUACACAAUUAAAUUUUUAUAAUGAACUAAGACACAUACCCAAAAGUUUUCAAAAAGAAUUCUUACCAUCGUAUUUAAACAGUAUAAUAAAAAAUAUUGUUUGAUUCAGAAGUGAGACUAUUUCCAGUGGACAUGGGGACUGGAGAUAAAGCUCAGUGGCACAGCACUGGCCUAGCAUGCACCAGUACUAUAGUUUAAAUCUAGAAUGUACCCCAAAGCCCCUGGGUUAAAGACUUGGCCCUAGUGUGGCACUGUUAGGACUUGGGGGAAACUUUAAGAUGGGGGGAUGCCUCGGGGGAGCUACUGAGCGUUCUGUACUCCUACCAUGGUACGCUGCCUUGCCCACAGGCCCCAAAAGCAAUGAAACCUCCUAAACUGGGAGCCUUAUAUAUUAAUUCUCUUAAUAUUUUGUCUCAGUGAUAGAAAGAUAGAAAGCUGACUAAGAGAGUAAGGGCAGAGGUUUGAUGUACACAAAACCAAAAACAAGCAAAAAACCUGACCUGUAUGGCACAAGUAGACAGUUUAAAUUAUGUAGAUUGACUUGUCUUGCUCC